rnacentral:rRNA from 1 species
AGCUCCAAUAGCGUAUAUUAAAGUUGUUGCAGUUAAAAAGCUCGUAGUUGGAUUUCUGGUUCGCUGCGCCUGGCCCGCCUGCGUUAGCAGUGUGAGUGCCGGUUGCGCGGUAGCCAUCCUUCUGGAGAACGGGCCUACUCUUCACUGAGUCGGGUCCGCGACCCAGAUCCUUUACUUUGAAAAAAUUAGAGUGUUUAAAGCAGGCAUUUGCUCUGAAUACAUUAGCAUGGAAUAAUGAUAUAGGACUUUGGUUCUAUUUUGUUGGUUUCUAGGACUGAAGUAAUGAUUGAUAGGGAUAGUUGGGGGUGCUAGUAUUGAGCGGCCAGAGGUGAAAUUCUUGGAUUCGCUCAAGACUAACUUAUGCGAAAGCAUUCACCAAGGAUGUCUUCUUUAAUCAAGA